AUGAAUACUUGGCCACCACCAAAGUUCGUUCAGACACACAGCAGGAUCCUCUGGCAGGAAAACAGUUGGCUAACGUGGUCUGGUUGUCAACGGAAAUACCUUAGAAGUGGCUGGAGCAAGCCUCACUUGUGUGCCCUUCUUCCAUGGAGUGAUCAUGGUCCCCCUCUGUUGUCUUCACCCUGAGGAGCAGAUUACACUGAGAAAUGACCUUACUCCCUUACACCCAUAGAAGCAACAACAGUGGUUCCAUGUGGUCAGCUCAACCCCCUUAAACCCACAGAUGAUGCAUCUUGUUAUCUGCAUGAUGGUUUAUUUCUUGCCCAGUAGUGGUAAAGGAGAAUUCACAUACUGGAAAGUGUGGCUUCAAUUACUGUUGCUUCCAAUCUUCUGCCUGUGAAGAGCCAAACAGCAAGAUGGAUAUGUGUGGUCCCAUGUUGCAGGUUGGCGUUAAAGUUGCAUUACACAGCAACCCUAACAUCUAGCUUCUGCUAUGAUAGCCUGCAUCUGAGAAAGAAACCUGGAGAGGAAAAAGGAGAGCCCCCAUAACAGGAACCCAGUCAUGGCCUCUCAAGCAAGCUGAGUUGCAACACUUCCUGUUGCAGCUAACUCCACUGAUUGCUGUCUCCUUUCACUGUUAAUCUCUGCUAUCCUUCUUAUCGUUUAUAAAGUUAAACAAAAGAGUAUCAGACUUCUUCUGAAAGUGUUAAGUCAAAAUAUGAUUACGUAAAAUGUCACUCCUUCCUUCUCCCCCCCUCCCCGCAAUUACUAAUCUAGUUGUUUUAGUGGAAUAAAGAUGUAUUUUUAGAAGCCAUUUCUCAGACAUUUAGGGCAAAUUCUUCUUGGCUGGCAGCAUUUAAAAAUGUUUAACACCUGAGUACUUUCAGAAAGACAGGAUGUGCUGCCUUUGUUUUUAUUUAAAUUUUAAGCCCAGCUUGCGCAUAAAAGGUGAUGCUUUUCACCUAGGAAUCUUCAGACUCCCUUAAAAGACCUGUCUUUCCAAAUAAGAACAUUUCUUGUGGUUCCUCUCUCUCUUCUACCCUGUGCUAUUUCUCACUCCCAUGUUGAAGAAGCCUUUAUACCACCACUCCUAAUAAACUGCAGCCUCGGAGAAAUAAGGACCGGUAUUAAAUCUCCCUUCUCUCUCUCCUGGAAAGUCCAUUGGCUAGCAAAAUCCUUCAUUUCCCCCCUUGCCCCCCACCUGUAUCUCCUCUAAAAGACACCAGCCAUCUACUACCUCUCUCUAACUCUCUCCUCCAUAGGGCAAACCUCCUCCCCCCCAUCCCCAUAGAGCUUGGAAAAGUUACUUUUUUGAACUACAACUCCCAUCAGCCCCAGCCAGCAUGGCCACUGGAUUGGGCUGAUGGGAAUUGUAGUUCAAAAAAGUAACUUUUCCAAGCUCUGCAGGCAUCUUAACAUGUGGUCUCUCUCUUCCCAUUCCCGUUUGGUCUUUUGCUGUCCAGUCUCUCUGGAUCUACCCUCUCUUUCCUUCCCCCAGAUUCUGAUUUCAAGCCUCAUCAAGUCCCUCUUGCCUUGCAGUGAUCUGCUCUCUUGCUUCCCCUUGCUGUGCUCCUUUCCUCUUUUUGCUGUUUCAGCCCAAAAUCUCAGGUUCUCCUUAACCAACUUUGCUACUCAUGAACUUCAGCUCAUUCCCUAGCAAUGCCCUCUCCUAGUCUUCUAAUUGUUUCCUUGUGAUUCUUGCCUUGAAACUUUCCACAAAAACCACUAUCCAAACUCCCUUCCUCCUCUGGCAAUCUUCCCUUCUCUUCCUAAAACAAGUAACACUUUCAUCCCUUUCACCGGUGCAGUUGCUGUUGUAACUGAUGUUCUGAACCAUAUGGAAUUAAAGUCCCACCAAACAAUAUGAAAUGUGUUAGCCUUGUCCCUGAAGCAAACAUAAGGAGAGUGUGAUCUUUUUCUAGAAUAGCAACAUUCCAAGUAUUCUUGUACCACACAGAGAGAUCCAGUUUGUCUAAAGUUUUCAAUUUUUGAGAGAUAGACAGCCAUGCUGUAAACAAUAAAUAUACCACCAAGUCCUUCAACAAUAUCUUUACAUUAGGACCAUGAAACAUUGAAAGAAGGGCCAGUUGGGAUACAUCCAUUUGACUAAUAUGUAGGUUUGUUUCUGUGGCUUUCAUACAAUUUUUUAAAAUUGAAAUUAUCAGCUUAAAGUCUUCUAGCUAGGCUACUCCAGUGUCUGAUCCUCAUGUGUUCUGAUAUAUUAAGCAGGCGGAGGGCUCAGUGCACAUCUCGUGGGCCACAGACCAAAGUGCGGUAAGCACAACAAUGGAAGAAUCUUUGUUUCAACAAGCUUUUCUAGAUGAAUGAAAAGGUUUCUGCCUUAGGUGUUCUGUUUUUAUGGUAUGCGUGUAAAUUGCCUUGAGGUCCAGGCAAAAGGUGAUUCAUAAAUAAAUAAUUUGGGUGGCUCCACAGAGGACAUUGCCUUGCCUCCCACCCCCCAAGCUUUUACAAAGAUGCCACCACUGUGAUAUCAAUCUGAAUUUCUUUGACAAGAAGAUGAAUGUGUGAUAGCACUUUAGGACUAGUUUAUUGUGGAAUCAUCCAAUGUGGAAUCAUCGGAUGGAUGGAAGGGUCAUACUAAAAAUUUGCUUCAUUAUGUAGCAUGUAGCUUGUUUUUCUUAACUAAUCUCAGACACAGCU